rnacentral:rRNA from 1 species
UUAGAGUUUGAUCCUGGCUCAGGACGAACGCUGGCGGCGCGCCUAACACAUGCAAGUCGAACGAGCGAGAGAGAGCUUGCUUUCUCGAGCGAGUGGCAAACGGGUGAGUAACGCGUGAGGAACCUGCCUCAAAGAGGGGGACAACAGUUGGAAACGACUGCUAAUACCGCAUAAGCCCACGGCCCGGCAUCGGGCUGAGGGAAAAGGAUUUAUUCGCUUCAGGAUGGACUCGCGUCCAAUUAGCUAGUUGGUGAGGUAACGGCCCACCAAGGCGACGAUUGGUAGCCGGACUGAGAGGUUGAACGGCCACAUUGGGACUGAGACACGGCCCAGACUCCUACGGGAGGCAGCAGUGGGGGAUAUUGCACAAUGGGGGAAACCCUGAUGCAGCGACGCCGCGUGGAGGAAGAAGGUCUUCGGAUUGUAAACUCCUGUUGUUGAGGAAGAUAAUGACGGUACCCAACAAGGAAGUGACGGCUAACUACGUGCCAGCAGCCGCGGUAAAACGUAGGUCACAAGCGUUGUCCGGAAUUACUGGGUGUAAAGGGAGCGCAGGCGGGAAGACAAGUUGGAAGUGAAAUCUAUGGGCUCAACCCAUAAACUGCUUUCAAAACUGUUUUUCUUGAGUAGUGCAGAGGUAGGCGGAAUUCCCGGUGUAGCGGUGGAAUGCGUAGAUAUCGGGAGGAACACCAGUGGCGAAGGCGGCCUACUGGGCACCAACUGACGCUGAGGCUCGAAAGUGUGGGUAGCAAACAGGAUUAGAUACCCUGGUAGUACACACCGUAAACGAUGAUUACUAGGUGUUGGAGGAUUGACCCCUUCAGUGCCGCAGUUAACACAAUAAGUAAUCCACCUGGGGAGUACGACCGCAAGGUUGAAACUCAAAGGAAUUGACGGGGGCCCGCACAAGCAGUGGAGUAUGUGGUUUAAUUCGACGCAACGCGAAGAACCUUACCAAGUCUUGACAUCCCUUGACGAUGCUGGAAACAGUAUUUCUCUUCGGAGCAAGGAGACAGGUGGUGCAUGGUUGUCGUCAGCUCGUGUCGUGAGAUGUUGGGUUAAGUCCCGCAACGAGCGCAACCCUUAUGGUCAGUUACUACGCAAGAGGACUCUGGCCAGACUGCCGUUGACAAAACGGAGGAAGGUGGGGAUGACGUCAAAUCAUCAUGCCCUUUAUGACUUGGGCUACACACGUACUACAAUGGCGUUAAACAAAGAGAAGCAAGACCGCGAGGUGGAGCAAAACUCAGAAACAACGUCCCAGUUCGGACUGCAGGCUGCAACUCGCCUGCACGAAGUCGGAAUUGCUAGUAAUCGUGGAUCAGCAUGCCACGGUGAAUACGUUCCCGGGCCUUGCACACACCGCCCGUCA